CUUUCAUCCAGAAUGAGGGAUGUAACAGGAGAAAUAUCCCAGUAGUGUGGGAAAGCUAAUUAGGGGUUUGUACCCAUGGGAACUAUGGGAUAAAACUUCUAAAAUGUGGUGAUACUGAACAGUUGCUCUGAAUUGAUGUCUCCUUUGGAUUCUCCCUAAAGAUAAGCAUGAAGCUUAGAGCCCAGCCACCCUCAAAAAAUUGAUUAAAUUGGACAGAACUCUGCUUUAAAAUCAAACAGAGGUGAAUCCAAAUCUUGCAUACUCCAUCUAUCAUCUUUAUAUGCUUCGAGUGCACUCGUGAAAGCAUCAAGGAAAGCAACAACAACACAGGAGGUGGGAAAGGACCCAACCUUUGCCUGAACAACAGUCACUCUUACAAGGAAAUCAGAAAAUCGUUCUUAAUUCUUUUCUCAUUGGUAACCAGGAUUUUGCCUUUCUCAAGCACUUAGGAGUUCCGGUGGCUUCAUGUUCAACAUCAGUAUCACUGGGCAAAAAUCAAGGUGUGGGCAGGAUCACACUCUGGAGGCUCUAGAGGAGAAUAUUCCCUGUCCUGUCUACGUCUCGUGGCUGCCUGCAUUCCUUUGCUUGUGGCUGCACUGCUCCAAUUUCUGCCUUCACAUUGCUUUCACCUAUUCUGUGUGUGUGGUGGUUUAAUCUCUCUCUGCAUCUCUCUUAUAAGGAAAGUUGUGAUUGAAUUAAAGGCCACACUGAUAAACUAGGAUAAUCUCCCCUACUUCAAGAUUCUUAACCUAAUUACAUCUGCAAAGGACCUUUCUCUUAUAAAGUAACAUUUAGAGAUUCCAAGGAUUCAAACCUGAUAUCUUUGGGUGGUCAUUACUUAUACUGCAAAAAAUUUGGGUCAUUUAAAAAAUCUGUUCUAACAAUCUCUGACUUUAAAUUCCUGUGUGUAAACAUUUACACUAAUGUAAUAAUUGGUAUGUUCAGAUUUAGAUAUACCAUUUUAUUAUUUGUUUUCUAUUUGUUUCUUGUGAUUUUUGUUGCAAUAUUUCCUUGUACUCUGUUUUUGGGGGUUAUUUAAACAUUUGUUCUUAUUCC
rnacentral:lncRNA from 1 species